rnacentral:rRNA from 1 species
UUUGGUGAUGAUGGCAGAGAGGUCACACCCGUUCCCAUACCGAACACGGAAGUUAAGCUCUCUAGCGCCGAUGGUAGUUGGGACCU